UACGGAGGGUGCAAGCGUUAUCCGGAUUCACUGGGUUUAAAGGGUGCGUAGGUGGGCUGGUAAGUCAGUGGUGAAAUCUCCAGGCUUAACUUGGAAACUGCCAUUGAUACUAUCAGUCUUGAAUACCGUGGAGGUCAGCGGAAUAUGUCAUGUAGCGGUGAAAUGCUUAGAUAUGACAUAGAACACCGAUAGCGAAGGCAGCUUGCUACACGAGUAUUGACACUGAGGCACGAAAGCGUGGGGAUCAAACAGG
rnacentral:rRNA from 1 species